rnacentral:rRNA from 1 species
AACGUAGGACGCGAGCGUUAUCCGGAGUUACUGGGCGUAAAGGGCGGGUAGGCGGCCAGUCAAGUUGGAUGUGAAAUCUCCUGGCUAAACUGGGAGGGUGCAUUCGAAACUGAUUGGCUAGAGGACAGCAGAGGGUCGCGGAAUUCCGGGUGGAGUGGUGAAAUGCGUAGAGAUCCGGAGGAACACCAGAGGCGAAAGCGGCGACCUGGGCUGUAACUGACGCUGAACCGCGAAAGCCAGGGGAGCGAACGGG